AGAGUCACAAAGGACGGAUUUGUUAGGCACAUGGUGGCAGGAAGGACAUCCCAAGCCAGAGGGGGAGGCAGGGCGAGGCAUUGGAGGAAGCCACCUUUGAGGUGCUGCGAUGACCCACCCUCCUUGGCCCGGUGGGGAGGCAGGGGGGUGGGGGGGAGAGUGGAACCUGUUAGGGCCCCUGAAACCCACCAGACAGGUGUGUGGGAGUCGGAGCUGAUUCGUGUGACAACCAGCGCCAACGUUCCCAACUCCACAAGUCCUGCUGAGGAGUCCACGAACACGGGCUUCUCUGCCUUUUUAUCUUGUUUCUAAGGGAAACACCGACGGUGGCAUUUGUGUCCCAGGGAGCUGGUGACCGCUCCAUUUUUCUGCCUAAAGAAGCUACUCGGUACAAGUCAGGUGGCCUCCCCUCCCUGAGUUCUCCUCGCGGGAUCUGGGCACAGUGUCCAGGACUCCGUCUCUUGCAGGACCCCUCUCCAGGAGGCAGGGAGGGACUUGGGACUCUCCUGGGCCCCCCGAAAGCCCCGCCAGAGGCCCAUCCUCCCACACCUCCCUUCCUCCGGUACUAGAGCACAGGGUCCCACCCCUCUAACGACCCGUGGCGUGGUCUGCCCGGAUUAUUGGUUCAAGUGGCCGCCUCGUCACCUCGAGGGCAGCGAGGGUUUCUUAGGAAGCCAGAACGACCCACGGAACCUGGCACUGCACCAGGGUCGCAGCUGUCACUUGGCCCAGGUCCGCAGUUGCUCGCUCAGUGCGCACUCCAAGCUGCCGGCCUGCGGAGCAGGGAUCCUUUUGCUAUCCCGGGUCCCAGGAACAUUCUCUGCGUCCUGAGAAUGGCUGAGGCUUAGAGAAUCGUAAGAGCCAACAUUUCCUGAAUGCUUAGCGUGCACAGACACGGUGCGAGAAGCUUGGAAAUGCACGAUCUCAUUCGGCAGACCCGGAGCCCGUAGAGGUAGGAAGCACAGAUAUCCUGCAGGAAGGCACAAAAACGUCCAAGGACCGGGCCCCAUCCCGCGGCCAGGAGAUCCCAGGUCUGUGUUCGGAACGCGAACGCUUAGCCGCUGUGGGUGGCCUCCCCGCUCAGCUCUGUAAAGUGAUUAAUAAAAUCAAAGCACCCCGGACAUUUAGAAUACCCUCUACAACAGUCACCCUGCUGGUGGCCGGCAGCCUGAGCAGGUCCUGGGCAGUGCUCGUGAGUCCUCCCUUGCAGACUGCGGCUGGCUUAAAAAGUGCUCCCUCGCUCGGGGUUCACUGGGGGGACGUCUGCCUCCCGACUUGCUGGCCUGGCUGGGCCUCUGCGGAGACAUAACUGGGCCCACCCCUCCUAUGCUCCCGGACCUUGUGGACAUUAUGGCCUCCUCCCUCUCAGCCCAAGCUCCCACCCUGGACCAGCACUGCAGUUUCAUUUAAAUAACAAAUUUGCCAGUGCAUUUGAAUACAAUUCCAGUUACUCAAAUUCAAUUUACACCGAGAAUUUUAGGAAUACAUUAUGUAAGGGGCUGCGGAUUCAAACAGGAGGCUGACCCCUAAUGAGCUGCCUGAAAUUGACAUUCAAAUUCCAGUGAGCCCAAAUCUUGGCUCAGGGCAUCAGCUAGACCCGAUUGAACACGCUCAUUUUGCCAGAUCAAUAAUACGAACAUGGCAUAAUAUAUCACAUAAAAAGCUUCUUCCCGUAGCCAUGGUUACAGCACUUAAAGAUCUGGGCUCUCUGAAACUCACCCCCCAAAUCAGCCACCACUCCGACUCCUCAUUUUCCUUACGGACAGUCCGAUUUUAGUUCUAAGCUCAAGUCACAGGAAAUAUUCUGACAACUAUCCUGUCUCACGACACUACUUUACAUCUGAACCGUAUGUAAUUUUUCCAAGGAGAUAUUGGAUACUAGACUUCACUUUUAAACCAAUGAGAAAAUGUAUCUACAGACAAAUUAGUCAUUAAAGUUCUAAUCUCUGGGACUUCCCUAUCCAGAGUAGAAAAUGCCUCGAAUACCACGGUGCUUCUUUGGGAAAUAUGUACGUUUUAUAGGCUCUUCAUACUUUUGGUAAAGUGUCUCAGAUGCAAGGCUGAUGGGGGAGUUCGCCACCACAGGUGUGCUUAUUAAUAAGCUGGAGUUGAGUGCGUACCAACAACGCAGGAGAGUUCUAGGCGUCAGCGCUGAUGAAUGCUGCUAAGCACCUGUAAAGACGAAACCUGCCCCUCGCAUUCAACGACCUCCUGAGCUCUGUAAGACUCCGGAUCCUCGGUGCGGAAUUAAGCAAUUUAUCUGCAGAGCCCUGUCUUCUCCAAGGAGAGACACAGACAAUGUCCUUAAGACUACCUGUGCACAACAGCGUUUACCAAAGCGGCCGGGUUAUUUACACAGCGUUUUCCAAAAGAACUUAAUAGUCAGGACCCCGGAGACAGCGUGAAAACCCAUAGUGGAGGAAGGCUGGCAACCUGUAACCCAGGAGCCAGUGGCCUUUGGGGGACGCUAGCCUGAGCCUUCACCUCCCCCACAACCUCAAGCACUCCUUUGUCUGUGUCCGGCUCAGCCCCUCGAAGGCUGCAGAGGGGCUGACCUCAGGCCUCCCGCGCGACCCUGGGUCCCCGGGACAAGCAGAGCACUGGACAUCGGGCACCGGGCAGCUUCCAAACAGCUCCGCGGAUAAAGCAGGAUGGUUUGCAUCGGAGCUCAGUCCGAAGGGCCUGUCCCACUCCAAGGAAAGGAAGAGACAAAAGUAUUAAUCAUGUUUUCCUUUUAAUAAGGCUUUUUACUCAAAAGUGUAGCUUUGAAAAUCUCUAGCUUGUGAAAACCGAAGAGCCGGGGAGCCGCCUCGCUGUGCACGCGGCCCCGGAGAGCUGAGGCCCCGCCGCCGCCACAGACCCUCCGUGACCGACGCGGGAAAUCAAACGCACCACGUUAAAAUCAGAGCCAACAUUUAAAAUGAGGAGGAGGAUGCAUGUCCUACGGUGAUUCAAGGAGAGGGGGCAAGUUCUUCAUACGGUAAAACCAAACACAAAAGGUAAACAAAUCUUUAGAAAUCACUAGGGCUGUGUGUGGUGUGUGUGUGUGUGUGUGUGUGUGUGUGUAUUUAUAUAAUUAGGAUUAUCACCAACAUUUAAAACUAUUAAAAAUAAGGUUGCCACCUUAACCUUUCUUUCAGUACCGGGGCGUUACUUUAGGGAAAAAAAAAAAAGAUGUCGCCCCGAACCUCGAGC